rnacentral:rRNA from 1 species
UACAGAGGGGGCAAGCGUUGUUCGGAAUUACUGGGCGUAAAGGGCGCGUAGGUGGCCAGCUAAGUCAGACGUGAAAUCCCUCGGCUUAACCGGGGAACUGCGUCUGAUACUGGAUGGCUCGAGUGUGGGAGAGGGAUGCGGAAUUCCAGGUGUAGCGGUGAAAUGCGCAGAUAUCAGGAGGAACACCGAUGGCGAAGGCAGGUCUCUGGGCCGAUACUGACGCUGAGGAGCGAAAGCGUGGGGAGCGAACAGG